AGGCGGGCUUCCCGCUGCGCAGCCUACUAGCGUGAGUGACAACCAGAUUAUCCAACCAGAUCAGAAGCUGAGCCAGGCCUGGCCAAUCACCAAACCCAACAUGAGGCGAUGUUUCUGCGCCCCGCCUACAGCAGUGGCACGCAGGAAGAGAGAGCCAAUCACGGAACGCGACAGAGAGCUACUUCCUUAUGCCGCCCUUUCUCAGUGAAUGACAACCACGCAAGCCAAUGGAGAUAGACAAAGUAACGUCUUCUACUGCUGACUGACAGUUAGGUCGACCAACCUCAGAGGGGAAAAGCAGUAGGCGGGGCUUUGCAGCCACCGAGGAAGGACGAGGGGCUGGAGCGGGACUGCUCGUCAGGGGGCGGCGACUCUGCGCCGGUUGCGUCGACGUGGACGGGGCGGAGGUGACGCGCCCGCCCGGCCCGUGGCUCCGCCUCCCCGCUUGAGCGGUAGGGCGCCUGCGCCGGCCACGGGUCUGCGGAACUCCCCGCCGCAGGGCCCCGGAGCCCGCCCGGCGAGAGGUGGGAAGCCCGGGGCAGGCCCUGGCGGCGUAGGUCCGCAGGCGGCCAGGACCCCGCUGCGGGGCCGGCUGCUGUGCCGGCCUAGGCCUGCCCCUGCCCCGCAGGGACCCGCCCGGGCUGCCCUGGCUAGGGCGACCAGAGGUCCCGUCUCCGUGGGGCGGUCCCGCGGCGGGGGCUCUUCGUAGAGCGGCGCCUAUUGCCCCCCCGCCCCGUCCUGUUUUCCCGCCGUUGCGGUCGGGUGACCCUAGCUCGAGCCCGGCUUGGGCUGCGCCCCUCGUGUCGCUUCAUGUUAAACCCAGGCCUGGGGGCGAGAGCCCUGCCCGCCAGCGAGGGAGCUGGUCCCUGCAACUCACUGCAGCUGCCCCCCGGGAGAGCUUGCUGCAGCCCUCCAGCAUUGUGCUGCAGCCCUCCAGCAAUUAAAGAUUAAUCUUUAAUUAAAGAUUGUCACGUGAUGAAAUCUCCAGGAAUUCCUCCAACCAACGUUAACAGCCCUGCUGUGGCGGAGCAAGAACAUGAGACAGUAACCAGCCCUGUACAGCUCCCUCAGGACACAAGAGGCCACAGCCAAGAGGAGCCUUCAAUUAAGAUGGCUGCAGCCAUGGAGCACGAGGCAGUAUCUGCAGGGUCGGUGGCCACUUGAAGUGAUGAACAGCUAGCAAAGUGUCCCUCAGAAACUAUGGCCAAGAGCUGUCCUCAGUACUCCGCCGGCACUCUGUCUGCAAAUUUGGAGACUGCUGACCAAUUAGUAAAGGUGUAUUUAAAACAACAGUGCCUGGCAAUUUGACACUCUUCUGAAGACUGGCUGUGGUGCAGGUCUUCCUGCCAUUUAAGUCCAGCCUUUUAAAAUCCCCGUCUUUAGAGUGGCCUGGAGUGAGACAGCCUGGAAUGCUCGUUAGCAGCCAUGACCAUGAGAGAGUCUAAUCAGAUGACUAAUGUGCUUUGGAAGCAAAAACCAAUCCAGCACCGAAGAAAUUCACUAAGUAUAAGAAACAGAUCUCAACAUUAAAAAUCCUACCCAAAAGUUCUGUUCAAAUGUAGUGUGAAGUAAAUGUUACUAGGAAGUGAAAAACCAUAUGGUGAUGUUUUGUAAAUUGAAAAAAAAAAAACGUGUAUUAAAACUAGGAAUUAAUAUUUUGAAUCAAUUGUACAAAUUUUAAAAAUAUGUAUUUUUAAAAAUAUUUAUUUUAACACUUCAGGUAAAACUAAAAAUAGUACAAAAAAAAAAAAAGAUUGAUAUGCCAUAAACUGGAAACAGGUCCAAAUGACUUAGGCCCUGUCUACACUGGCAAGUUUCUGUGCAGUAAAGCAGCUUUCUGCAUUGUAACUCCCGAGGCACACACACUGCCAAGCCACUUAGUGCACAGAAACUGCGCAGUUGCAACACUGUAAAAAAACCACCCCGAUGAGAGGUGUACAGCUUUCUGCGCCAGGAGUACAGCACUGCAGGGCCAGUGUAGACACCCUGGUCGAUUACAGCACUGCAAUUGGCCUCCAGGAGGUGUCCCACAAUAUCUGUUCUUGCCUCUCUGGUCAUCGGUUUGAACUCUACUGCCCUGCCCACAAGUGACCAACCGUCAUCACCAGCUUGUAAAUUCCUUUGAAAUUUGGAAGUCUCCUUUCUGUUUGCUCGGUGAUGCGUGCAGUGGUCUCAGCGCAUCUUUCCAGGUGACCAUGCCUGCUCCAUGCAUCAAGCGAUCCCCCUCUUAGAGCAAUGCUGAGCUGCUGGACCCCAUCGGGCAUUUGGGGAGAGGAGGCUGUCCAGUCCCAGCUGUGUUCCAGCCACAUGAAUUAUACCACCUAUGGCCAGAUUUCACGAAGCAUGACAGAAAGGGGCCAUGACCGGAACACACUGCCAUGCAGAGUCAAAGUGAAGGAGCUGUGGAGCAAACUGCCGCUCCAGUGCUGCGCCCAUGAGCUACCGAUUCUACAAAGAGCUGGACGCAAUACUCGGUGGCAACCCCACCUCCACUGCAAAGGCCACUGUGGAUACUUUGGUGGCUCACAUGCCAGUCGAGAGUGGACUGAGCCAGGACGAGGAAAUCUUGGAUUUCGAUGUUGAGGGGCACGGGGACCCAGAGGCAGAGGUCAGAGAUGCAUGCAGCCAGGAGCUCUUUUCUACCCCGGAAGAAGCUAGCCAGUCACAGCCCUCGGAUCUUGGAGAAGCACAAACAAGAGAGGAGGCCCCUGAGAUGACCUUAGGAUCCCAGCCUCCUUCUUUGUUAUCGCCAGCUGAACGGCUGCGUGGAAUUAGGAAGCAGCCACGAAGAACUAAGGAGGACUUCUGCAUGAUAUUAUGAUGCACUCUGCGGCAGAAAAACAGGAAUUGAAGGAGUGUCAGGACAGCGAGAAGAGGGACUGAAAGGAGAAUGCAGCAAGCCAGAAUGGAGCGGCUCUUAAACGUUACGGAGCGCCAAACAGACAUGGUCCAACUGAUACUAGCAUUGCAAAACAAGCAGCUCCGCACCCGCACUCCCCUGCAGCCACUGUCACAGAACUCUUUCCCAUGCACCCCCCAGACACCACCAGAACACUCUUAUCAAUCUCCUGGUUCCAGUCUGCACCCGCAGCAUUCCACUCCUCCCCAUCACAGUACAGCACUGCGGACCCCCCGUUCCCACUGCACUCAACAGCCAUCCCUCUGCAGUUUGGCCCUGUUGAAGUACAGUACCCCCUGCACUGUACUCCAAAGGAGAAGGCUGGAUAGGAUCCCUGGACAUGCAUAAAUCUUUAACCAUCCCGGUACCCCACCUCUUCCUGGGACCUUCCCUUCCCCAUCCCGCUCAGUGCUGAUGUGUUUUUUUGUUUGACUCUCUCCGGCUGUUUUUUAAUAAAAGAAUU